ACAGGCUUCACAGUGGCAAGCUCUGUCUGAUCAUCCUCACGUGUAUCGCAGAGGAUCAGUAUGCCAACGCCUUUUUACACGAUGACAACAUGAACUUCCGGGUAAACCUACACAGAAUGCCUAUGAGACACAGGAAGAAGGCUGCUGACAAGAAUCUUCCCUGCCGUCCCCUGGUGUGCGCAGUCCUGGACCUGAUGGUGGAGUUCAUUGUAACGCACAUGAUGAAGGAAUUCCCUAUGGAUCUCUAUGUG
rnacentral:lncRNA from 1 species